rnacentral:lncRNA from 1 species
GCGGCCGCGCGGCCCCGCCCGUCGGCCUCGCUCCCGCCACAGAGCCCGCAGCACGCCGCCGCCGCAGCCUAGGUCACAUUACUAGGAAAGCCAAGUCUCUCUUCCUGGAUUUCUUCUCCUAUAAACCGCCUAUUGAUACCUACCCACUUCUCUAUGGAGCACAGAUGAAGGAUAUUGGUCAUCUCCAGCAUCUAGCACAACGUCUGCAAUGGAACAGGCGAGCUGUGAAUAUUUGUGGAAUGCAUGGGUGGACUAAAGACCUAUCACCUCACUCUAGAAUGCCCAGCAUGUUGGAGCAUGUUAAGCACUAUAUGAGCUGCUGAGGAUACAGGAAUAAACAACAACACAGGUGUGUCCUCUGCCCAAACCAGGCAUAAAUGAGCUUCCAAAUGAACACAAACAAAUCUGGAAGGCUUUUGAGGAAGAAGGACCAUUAAAAAAGCUGCUGACGACUGCCUGGAAUCUGGUUUGGAGCAUCUCCAAAGCCAACGUACUUUCCCCCAAGAAAAUACAGGAAGAUCUCUCUGCCCAGGCUUGGAAAUACAUAAGGAUCAGG